rnacentral:rRNA from 1 species
GUUACGCUAAUACCGCAUACGAUCCACGGAUGAAAGCAGGGGACCUUCGGGCCUUGUGCUAUACGAGCGGCCGAUGUCUGAUUAGCUAGUUGGUGAGGUAAAAGGCUCACCAAGGCGACGAUCAGUAGCGGGUCUGAGAGGAUGAUCCGCCACACUGGGACUGAGACACGGCCCAGACUCCUACGGGAGGCAGCAGUGGGGAAUUUUGGACAAUGGGCGCAAGCCUGAUCCAGCCAUGCCGCGUGUCUGAAGAAGGCCUUCGGGUUGUAAAGGACUUUUGUCAGGGAGCAAAACUUACUGGUUAAUACCUGGUGAGGUUGAGAGUACCUGAAGAAUAAGCACCGGCUAACUACGUGCCAGCAGCCGCGGUAAUACGUAGGGUGCAAGCGUUAAUCGGAAUUACUGGGCGUAAAGCGUGCGCAGGCGGACUUUUAAGCCAGAUGUGAAAGCCCCGAGCUUAACUUGGGAAUUGCG